UAAAGACAAAAUAUAUAUAAAAAAAAAAAUUAUAUAGAAGUAUGCAAAUUUCUUUCCUCGACUCAUAACUACUUUACAAAACCAAUACAGAUAUCUUAAAAAACAUUAACAUUAUUUUUUUUAUUUCGCUCUUCGUUUCCAUCAAAACAGAAAGAGAAAUCGCACAAUAGCUAUUGUUUUACGUUUAGAAUAAUUAAAGAGGAAGAAGAAGAAGAAGAGAAAUUGAAUAUUGGAAAGAAAUCUCGCAGCAUGUCAUAAUUCCAUAAAACUUUAAACCGUCGAGCUUCGUUCUUCAUAAAUCUCUGGCGAGUGAUUGCGUUUUCUUUGCUGUCAACCAGUUUGCCGGAAGUCGAGGAACCGUUACAAAGGGAACGGGAUCGAAGUAAAUGAAACUGCGGGCAAAAUGAUGACACCGACUAUCUGACUUCCCCUUCCUCCUCCUCCUCCUCCUCCCCAUCGACGAGUGGAGGAAAAAUUGGCGAAAAACGGAUAAAACGAUCCGAGGUAAAUGGAAUUUUCAAGGGAGAUUGCUCGCAAUUCCGCGCUUCACCCAACUGUUUGUAAACUUGCCAUACGUACGAGGAUCAGGAUUUAUGAAGUUCUCAUGAAUUAGCAAACUCUACGUGACGAGGAGAAAGAUGAUUCAUCGUUGAGUCGAGGAAUCGUUCACGUGAUCACUUGAAGAAUAUUCCAGUUAAAUUGGCUCGAUCGAUUUAAUAUAAAUUCGAAGAAUCGAAGAAUACUUUUCAUUCAUACAUUUCGUUUAUUUAGUAACGAAAUUAUUUUGAGAAACAGAAAAAUGUAUUUCUUUAUCUAUCUUUGUAGUUGGUACAUUCUCUGAUUUGAGGUUAACUUUAAUUUGUAAUUAUUGGAAUAAUUUAUAUUAAGAAAUCUUAGCAUAUUUCCUAUUGAUUGGACUUGGAUCAUUAGGAUUUUUGUUUUUAUUAUUUACAAUUUGUGUCUAUCAUAAAUAUUUGUGUAAUUUGGAUUACAAUGAAUAUGUACAAAAAAUGUGUAUGUAAGAAUAUUGAUUGAAGUUUAUUUAUUAAAAUAAUUCAAGUUUGCAUUUAAUGAAGGAGAAACAAAAUAGCAUUGCUUCAAUUGGUUUUUGUUGUUCAUUACCAAGGGAAUGAACGAUUCGAAAUUUCCAAGAAUAGCAAAACAUCGAAUUUCUUGCGAGCACAAGUCUAUGGGUGGAAACAUUUUGAGAGCCGUGGAAUUAAUGAAUUAAUGUCGCCAGCGGGAAACGGUGUCGACAGCGUUAAACGACACGAUAAACUUUCAACGAAGGCUAAGAGCAUUAAGUGCUCUCUUUUUAUAUCGAUUAACAUCGUUAGCGGAAUUACAAUUUUUUAAAAAGAUUCAUUUGGUCCAAUUUUAAAAAAAAAAAAUGUUCUUUGCCAAAGAUCAAUGACAUGAAUUCAAUUUUGAUUUUCGAUAUGCAAAAUAAGAUUUGUAUUUUUAUUUGAUAUAAAAAAAAUACUUUCUUAUAAAUACUUGUGAUAUUUAAAGGAUAAUAUAUAAUCCGAAAUGUAGUUUGAUACUUGUAUUACAUUUUGCAAUACAACAAUAAUCUCGUGUAAAGCUACGACAGAUUGUAGUAACAAUUGUUUCACAUUUAUGAAAUACUGUGGAAUUGCAUGAUAUCAGAGACACGUUUCGGAUUUCACACGAGAAAAAUUGGUCAUUGAUUCAAUGACUAAAGAAAAUAAUAUGCAUUUUAUUUCAGUUUAAAAACAAGGAAAAUUUUUUCACUACGAAGACGGAAUAACUUAAAGUAAAAAAGAAAAUGAAGUAA